ensembl:lncRNA
CUUAGCAUUACAAAAGAGUACAAGCACGCACUUAUUUUCUUGAGGUUAGAAAAACCUACAUGUAUGCUGCUUCACCUCCACGCAAUGCACGAUUUAACCUUUCAUCGUUUGUUGUAUUUAUAUCUCUGCUCUUUCCUUUGCUCUGGAAAUCAGAGGGAAGAGAUUACAGAAAAUCCCGUCUUUCAGGUGAGAAAGUGGGAUUAAAAAGCAGGCUCAGAGUACAAGGUGUGAAAAAUGCUCACAGUGUUUGGUGUGAAGCAGGAUGUUGAAGAUGCACUGUGUGCAGUUUCAUUAUCCGAUUAAAAGCAGCAUUAUACGUUAAAAAUGAACUGCUGGCUUUGCAUUGGUUUACUGUGAGAGCUUCUAGGAGGUAGCGUGUCCAUGUGUUAUUCUUGUUCAUAUACUGACACCUAAUGGCCAUUGAGAGUACAGCAAAGCAUGUGGAAUAACAGUGCACUGAACAGUUUCUCCAUUCAAAAUCACUGGGUAACUGAUUCCCACCAACAUUACAUUCCCAUACAAUUCCUAUUUUUGUUCAAUGUGGAAUUCCAGAAAACAAGAAAAUCUUGUGAUCUCAUAUUUCAUCCCAAAUAAGUCAAAUCCACUUUGAAUAAAAGUUUAAUUCACAAAAAUACAUUGACCAGUAUAAUGAAAAUGUACUAAAAUGUACUUUAAUAAUCCAUAAAAGCUGGAACAUUAUUGACAGAAAAACACAAGAAGCGAUAUUAGAGUUGGUUUAGUACAAUAUAUUUCAGCUUCGAGAGACAUAGAAAUCAAUCCUUAUUUUUCCCCAUAUUUCUUCUAUAAAAGACCCAUUUUUUCUGAAGCAUUGUUAUGCAAAAAGAAAAAUGGCAUUAGAAUAUAUUAUGGGAGCUAUGAAAUCCCGGUGACUGAGUAUAAAAUUAAGUCACAUCAGAGAGAGAUAUCUGCAGAAGAGAAGUCCAUGAACAAGAGGGCAAACAAAGAAAAAAAAAUGUAAUAAAAAAAAAUAAUAAUACAUAUCAUAGACCUCGAUCUACCAUCACUGACAUGACAGGCAUGGAGAAUAGGUGUAUGGCUAUAAAAAAAAAAAAAUUCUCACUUUUCCACUUUGAUUUCACUUGAAAACAUCUACACGUAAUAACUGAUGCUUUAUUCAUGCUCGUUUUUGAAGAAUAUUUAUAAUCAUACAACUAAAGAGGUCAACUUCCAUGUCUUUCAAAUACAAUAUUGAAAAAGAUGAAAAAUACUGAAUCCAAGUUCUAACUUUGUUUUCCUUCUUAAAUGCUGUUAUUUCUUUAUGUUAAGCUGUCAAAAAAUAAAAAUAAGGGGCUGGCCAUGUAGGCAGCUCGUGGACUUUUUUUUGUUUGUUUUUUAACUUUCAGAGGCUUUGCUGCAUUUUAAUCAGAACAUCGUCAGUUUGUGGUGCUGUUGUUGGUGCAGAGGUGGACGCUUCCCGUUCAGCGUUCACACUCAAACUGAGACAGAGGAAGGUCCUCGGAGGCGAGAGACCAGAGUCUACUCUCUCUUACUGUCUUUCUCUUUUCAUUCUCUCUGGUGUAGAUCAUCCUCAUCUUUGAUAGGAGCAGUUCAGUCAGCUGAUUCACCGUUUAUGGCUGAUGGAGGAAGGGUAGGGUCAGGGCUGUUGGAAUGCUGGCACGUUCCAAUCAGGGCAACAGUUCUUCAUUACAGCAUUUCUGCAAGACAGCACACUGUCAGUCCUUCCAUAGCCAACUCAAAUCACCCUCUGAAAGAAAAUUAAGGCCGCAGUGCCCUCUACUGGCUGCUGAGCAGCAUUGCAAGUGUUGCAAUUUCAUUAGAAAAAAAAUACACGGGCAUAUAGCAUAUAUUAUACCACUUUAAAGUAAAAGCAUUAAUGAUUACAAGAAUGAUGUGUAUAAACCUGGGAUUUUGAGGCUUAAAAAUAAAAUUAAAAACUUAUAACCUGCUUUUUGGACCCUUAAUACAAAGUUUUUCAUUCUUAAACUUCUUAGCGCUUUUCUUACAUCUUAACCAGACCUUGGAAAAGAGAUCAAAUGUCUAACACAAAGCCUCAGGGGAAAAUCACACCUCAGAGCAGAAAGUGAAGCCAGCAGUCCAACAGGGAGCACAGAGAAGUACUCCUGCACUAUGUUCCUCAGAGGCACUUUCAGUGCCAAAGGCUUUAGGAAGCCGAGUGAUCAGCAUUUUGUGGCUUCUCUCAGCUGAGCAAAACUUCAAUCAGUCCGUGUGCCAAAAGUCAUGUGAUGAGGUCUGCCGAGUUUCUGCUUGGGAUGUUUAAACACUGCUCAGGUGCCAUCUUUCCAUUAACAGUCUGAGCUCUGAGCUCAUGCUCGCCCUGUGCUUAAGUGUAGCUGCUGCAAUUAAAUGAACGUCUGUCUGGGCGAACACCAAGAGCCGCUGGUGUUCAACUCACAAACACCAAAAUGAGAACAGAACACAAAUAACAUAAUAGGAGUAUAUGCAUGAUGCUACAAGUGCAACUAGCAGGCUCGUGAUUCAUUUGCAGGCCAAGCUACCUUUCAGAGAGGCAGUGACAAUAAGUUGGUAAUGAGCGCAAUAACAGAUGCCCUGCAGUAACCAUUCUUAUUUCAAGUGUUCAUGCGGUCUACUCUCAUGUUGCUAUAAUCACAUUCUGGCUACAGCAAAUCUUGUUUUUCUUAUUAGUCUUACAGUUAGCUUUCAUAACUUCCAUAUGUUGUUGCUCGGUUUCUGAUGAAGUAUUCAUUAACAGACCUCUUCAGACACAUAGUAGAGCUCCUUCAAGAAUAUUAAUGAUAGCUUUAUUUCAUUAAGGUGUUUGGAAUCUAGGGCCAUGCAAGCUAACAGCUCCCUAAAUAUAUCCCUCUCCCAGUGAAUACAGUGACAGAUAAAACCAGAGACUCAAAGUUCAUGAGCUCAUCAGGUCAACAUGCUGGAAGCCACAAACUGACAUGUCCCAUUAACUCUCUGCGUCCCGUCUGUGCCUGGCACUGUAUCCCCUCUCUCCCUCUCGCAGCGUAUGAGCUGGUGGGCUGUGAGCAGUGGAACAGCGAGGUUGAAAUCCCGUUAGUGCUGGUUCAUUGGGCUGGCCGGCGUGAGAGUCGGGUAGGGUGGAGGUGGGGGGUGCUGGGAGUGCUGACGCCACCCUGGGGCAUGCUAACAGAGGCCCCCGCUCUCACACACUGGAGCUCUAACUGACCAACACAGAUGGGUUCAGAGGAGGAACGCAGUGGGUGGUUCAGCGACCCUGCUGUCUGGGCUGGCUACAAUGGCACUGUCUGUUUCACUAAUCCAGUUUUAUCUGCAAAAUCAAAGUUUUAUUCCUCCACCCUGGAAGUUAAAAGUAACUGAAGACGUAAGAUCUCUCUGUUGGCUGUGUGAACCUGUCAGGUCUGGCAAUACUGGGGUUUUGUUCUGACAACAGAGCUCAAAAUACCAGCUAACAGAUUGUAAGAGCUUCUAAAAGCGACUGCACUCUAACCAAAAUACUGGAGGGAGGAAGAAAAAAAAAAAAAAAGUUGUGCAAACUGUCGCUUGUUCAGCUACACCCUUUUUAAUUUCAAACAACAAAGAGGCCAUAUGAGCUCCAUUUUGCUCUUUUAAUGACAUUUGAUUGUUUUCACAAUAUCAUUCACCAAUUAACAGCGAAUAAACUGUUUAAGCUUUUUAAUCUUGCUCACAAUUAGAUUCGUUUUUUGCUCCAAUCCUUAUGGCAAAAUAUCCCAUAGGCUUGUCAGUCCUUUAUUAUUUAUCUGUAGGC